rnacentral:rRNA from 1 species
UACGAAGGGGGCUAGCGUUGUUCGGAAUUACUGGGCUUAAAGCGUGUGUAGGCGGACCGUUAAGUACCUUGUGAAAUCCCCCGGCUCAACCGGGGAACGGCUGGGUAUACUGGCGGUCUUGAGCCAUCCAGGGGCAGUCGGAACAGACGGUGGAGCGGUGAAAUGCGUAGAUAUCGUCUGGAACGCCGAAGGUGAAAACAGACUGCUGGGGAUGCGCUGACGCUGAGACACGAAAGCCAGGGGAGCGAACGGG